rnacentral:sRNA from 1 species
CGUUGGCUCCAGACAAAUAAACAUGGAGUCCAUCUUCCACGAGAAAAAAUGAAAGAUCAUUUAUAUGCAAUUAUAAGGAACACUGGUUUACAGUUAGAAAAUUAGGAAAACAGUGGUUUAACUUGAAUUCUCUCUUGACGGGUCCAGAAUUAAUAUCAGAUACAUAUCUUGCACUUUUCUUGGCUCAAUUACAACAGGAAGGUUAUUCUAUAUUUGUUGUUAAGGGUGAUCUGCCAGAUUGCGAAGCUGACCAACUCCUGCAGAUGAUUAGGGUCCAACAGAUGCACCGACCAAAACUUAUUGGAGAAGAAUUAGCACAACUAAAAGAGCAAAGAGUCCAUAAAACAGACCUGGAACGAGUGUUAGAAGCAAAUGAUGGCUCAGGAAUGUUAGACGAAGACGAGGAGGAUUUGCAGAGGGCUCUGGCACUAAGUCGCCAAGAAAUUGACAUGGAAGAUGAGGAAGCAGAUCUCCGCAGGGCUAUUCAGCUAAGUAUGCAAGGUAGUUCCAGAAAUAUAUCUCAAGAUAUUCCACAGACAUCAGGUACAAAUCUUACUUCAGAAGAGCUUCGGAAGAGACGAGAAGCCUACUUUGAAAAGUAAAGUAGUUGACAGCAGCAAAAGCAGCAACAGCAGCCGCAAAAGCAGCAACAGCAGCCGCAACAGCAGCAGCAGCAGCAGCAGGGGGACCUAUCAGGACAGAGUUCACAUCCAUGUGAAAGGCCAACCACCAGUUCAGGAGCACUUGGGAGUGAUC